rnacentral:lncRNA from 1 species
AUGCAACGGGCUGGCCAGUGUGAUGGGGCAUACGGAGAGGAGAGGCAAGAGAGGAGGCGUCUUUCAUUCAAUAGCUUGAAUACUGAUUUACUGUUGAGACACAGACAGGUGCAGUCUGCAGAUGUAUACUGUGUGUGGCCUACAGCACUGUAUACCGCAAGGGCUGAAUCACAGGAGGUUGGUGGCACUUUAAUUGGGGAGGACAGGCUCAUAGUGACAGCUUGAACGGAAUCAAUGGAAUAGUAUCAAAUUCAUCAAACACAUGGUUUCCAUGUGUUGGAUACCAUUCCAUUCACACCAUAUGAGCCGUCCUCCCCUCGGCAGCCUCCUGUGGGCUGUAUACUGUACAAGUGAUACUAUCAUAACU